rnacentral:rRNA from 1 species
CGAACGAACCUUCGGGUGAGUGGCGCACGGGUGCGUAACGCGUGGGAAUAUACACAUAGGUGAGGAAUAACGUAGAGAAAUUUGCGCUAAUACCUCAUAAUGACUCCGGUCCAAAGAUUUAUCGCCUAUGAAUUAGCCCGCGUCAGAUUAGAUAGUUGGUGAGGUAAAGGCUCACCAAGUCUACGAUCUGUAGGGGGUCUGAGAGGAUGAUCCCCCACACUGGUACUGAGACACGGACCAGACUCCUACGGGAGGCAGCAGUGAGGAAUAUUGGACAAUGGGGGCAACCCUGAUCCAGCCAUGCCGCGUGAGUGAAGAAGGCCUUAGGGUUGUAAAGCUCUUUCAAUAGUGAAGAUAAUGACGGCAACUAUACAAGAAGCUCCGGCUAAAUUCGUGCCAGCAGCCGCGGUAAUACGAAUGGAGCAAGCGUUGUUCGGAAUCACUGGGCUUAAAGCGUAUGUAGGCGGACUAGCAAGUCAGGAGUGAAAUCCCGGGGCUCAACCCCGGAACUGCUCUUGAAACUGCAAGUCUAGAAUCCUGGAGAGGUUGGGAGAAUUCCUAGUGUAGAGGUGAAAUUCGCAGAUAUUAGGAGGAAUACCAGUGGCGUAGGCGCCCAACUGGACAGGUAUUGACGCUCAGAUACCAAAGCGUGGGGAGCAAACAGGAUUAGAUACCCUGGUAGUCCACGCCGUAAACGAUGUGUGCUAGCUGUCGGAUGUUCA